rnacentral:lncRNA from 1 species
AUAUAUAUAUAUCUCUCAUGUUCCUUUAACAACAUCUACUGAUUAGAAACUAGGUAUGUUGCAAUUAACUCUUGGUUUUUGUUGAAUUCUGUCCAGUGUGUUAGCCAUUACAGCUCAAAAAUGACAUUCUGUUCCAUUAAUUUGUUUGUUUUAGUGCCAUUUGUCCAAAGACGGUAUAAUUAAGAACAAGGAUAGCUAGCAUGGACUUGUCGCUGGGUCAUUAGCAGGUGCCUUGUAAAUAAUGACGACCAACUAAAUACACUUUGUUUGGACUUGUGAAGAAGAAACCACAGGAGACGCAAGGUUUCCCUUACUAAUUUUCGGUUCCAUGAUGACAAGUUUUAUUUUACUUUUUAUUUUUAUUUAUUUAUUUUUUUCUUUUGAGACUGAAAAUUCAGGCAAUUAAUUCAAGCAUUGUUUCAAUUUGUGUUGAUUUCAUUUGUUCCUUUUAAUCGUAAUCAUGACCUCUCUCCGAUGGUAGACAUCCAAAAAAGAAUUAUGCACUCCAAAAUUUGGCGAGCUUUGAGAUGUACACAGAACAAGUCCUAAAGCAGGUGUUUGUGAACCAGUGAACAAUUUUUGGAGCACGAACUGGAAGAAAAAAAAUGAUAAUGGCUAUUUGGAUAAAUGUUAGUAUGAAACUUCAAGAGAAAGUUGGAAGAAAUAUAUGAUUAGAAAUUUACUAAAAGCCAUCAAAUAUAAUUAAUUAAGACAUAAAGGAGUCCUUUAAAACCUAUGCAAAAUAUGCAUCCUCCUCGUUUGAACAAGCUGCCCUGAGAUUUGGAAACAAUGAUUAUCCUCUCCCAGUUUUUUUCUCCUGAUUUUUAGGAUUUUGACUAGUAGUUCAUACCGUUACAGUAUUGACACAUGAUUUUAGGUUCCUUAAUAAUUAAACAUAUAACCAAGGUUUAGGACAUAUUUCUUUUGUGAUUUUGACACAUGAAAACCCUAGACUUAUCCAACUUAUGGCUGACAGGCAUCUGCAACUGAUAUUGAAUUAGCCCAUUAAUGUUUAAGUGAAAGGAUAACAAGUAAAUUGGAUCUUGGAACCAACCGAAAUCAUCCAACUUCAAGGGUUCUUGGAUUUUAAGGAGGAUGAGACAAGUAGCAUAAUGGAUAUAAAUCAUGAUCACCUAAGAUAUGUUUGUUUCUUAAGAAAAAAUAAAAAGAAAAAAAAUAGAAGAAAAGAAACUAUUUAUGACAAAAAAUAAAAUUAGAUUUAAAGUUAAAUAAAUUAUUUUUAUAUAUUUUUUCAAACUUAUUUCAUUUAUUUAUUUUUUUCUUUUAUAAAAGAAAUUAAAUAACUUUAAAAUGCAUAAGUUUUACUAAUUUCAAGCACAUUUAAAUUGCUUUUGUACUUCCCAUAUUAAAUCAAAUAUGAAAAACUAAUUUUUUUUAGCAUCUUCUUCUCUUUUUAUUACUUUCCAAACCAUAAAUUUAGAUUCUCGUUAUGAUACCAUAGAACUUGAUGAGGGAGGUGAUAUAAUCCCUUAGGAAAAUUUGGACACGGUCAUUGUUGAUGGGAUAUGUUAAGCUACCAACAUGUUAAUAAUAAUAAUAAUAAUAAUAAUAAUAAUAAUAAUAAUAAAUUUGGACACGGUCAUUGUUGAUGGGAUAUGUUAAGCUACCAACAUGUUAAUAAUAAUAAUAAUAAUAAUAAUAAUAAUAAUUUAUUAUUAGCUAUGCUUAGUUAUAUUUUUAUAAAACUUACUAUCUUAGACAAUGUUGUAGCUAAGCUCAACAUAUAAGGCUUGGGUGACUGCUUAAAAAGGUAAGUAGUUGUAAACUAAACCUUCCAAGGACUCAUAAUACAUGUGAUUAGCUAUGCUUUUAUAAAACUUACUAUCUAUGACAAUGAUCCAACUAAGCUUAACACAGAAGGCUUGAAGCUACUACAUAAAAAAAAUAAAUAAUUUUUUUUAAUUUGUAAACUAAACCUUCCAUGGACUCUUAGGGUUAUCCGAGUAAAAGAUUCAUUUACAUUCUUUCAAAUCGGUAUAAUAAAAAAAGAUUUUUAACAUCAAUAUAAAAAAGUGGCCAAUCAAAAUUAAUGAUCAAUGGCAUUACAAAAUGAAUUAAUUUUUGCAAUUUAAGUCAAGAUUUCCUUAUUAUCUACUCUAUAUGUUUGUGUAUGUAUACUGCACUUUGGCUACUAGUUACACCUUUAACAUGGAUCAAAAAAUCCAUUUGGGGGUGCUUUUUGUUUUUUAUUUUAGUUGGAAGCCUAAAUACAUUUCUCAUCCAUGUUCUCUAUUUUAACAUUUCAAACUUAACCUAAAUGACUAUGAUGUCUCCAGUCGACAUCCAUGAGAAUGGAAGAUUUGCCAUUCUCGUUCUCUAUUUCACUAAUCCAAACUCAAUUAAUGUAAAUGGUUGUGAUGUCAGUCAUUUGUAGUUUGUUUUUGUUAAACUACCCUCUCACAUGAGCGAGGUGGCAUCCAACGUCUCUAGAAACUAGAGUCUGAUAGAUAAUAUACAAGAUUCUGGUGUAUAGGAAGCUGUAUAAAGAUGAGAAAAAGGGUGAAAAGGAUAUGUAUAUACAUAUGUGGAGGACGGAAAGGAAAAAGAUAGAAAGGAAUAUUGGCCACUUACCUCUCCAUCACUUCCAUGCUUUGCAAUAUCUCAUCUAACCCACAGGCGUGACUAGGUUCAUUUCCACACAGCUUUAUCCUCCUUGGAGUACAACAAAAUGGGGACAUGAGAACUCACUAUAAAUAUACAAAACUCAUUACACUAUUGACAAGCCAAACAAGUUGGAUGUAUAUGGAAUACAUAAUCCAUUAGGUGCCCCCUAGAGUUCCCCUGACCACUUCACUGGGGAUCUUCUCUAAUGACAGUUGCAUUUUGUUCCAUCAAUUUGUUUGUUUUGAUGACAUUUAUUUAAAGACAUGCACAAUAUUCAGGAAAGAUAACAUGCACUUUUCACUGAGUCAUCAUGAACAGGUGUUAUAUGUAUUAAGGAGCAACUCAUUACACCAUGGUUUGGCUUGUGAAGAAGAAACAAUAGGUUACAAUAGGUUUCCUUUGAUUUGGUUCCUUGGUGACAAAUUUUAUUUUAUUUUUUAUUUCUUAUUUUGUGCUUUUUCCUUCUAAUUAAGAAAAGUAAUUCUGGAAUGGCAAUCAAGCAAUAUUGUUUCAAGUUGUACUGUUAAUUUCAUUUGUUUCGUAUAAUUGUAAUUAAUGAUCAUGACCUCUCUCCUAUGGUAGACAUCCAAAA